rnacentral:rRNA from 1 species
AGUGAACGCUGGCGGUAGGCCUAACACAUGCGAGUCGAACGGCAGCACAGUAAGAGCUUGCUCUUACGGGUGGCGAGUGGCGGACGGGUGAGGAAUACAUCGGAAUCUACUUUUUCGUGGGGGAUAACGUAGGGAAACUUACGCUAAUACCGCAUACGACCUACGGGUGAAAGCAGGGGAUCUUCGGACCUUGCGCGAUUGAAUGAGCCGAUGUCGGAUUAGCUAGUUGGCGGGGUAAGGGCCCACCAAGGCGACGAUCCGUAGCUGGUCUGAGAGGAUGAUCAGCAACACUGGAACUGAGACACGGUCCAGACUCCUACGGGAGGAAGCAGUGGGGAAUAUUGGACAAUGGGCGCAAGCCUGAUCCAGCCAUACCGCGUGGGUGAAGAAGGCCUUCGGGUUGUAAAGCCCUUUUGUUGGGAAAGAAAAGCAGCAGGUUAAUACCCAGCUGUUCUGACGGUACCCAAAGAAUAAGCACCGGCUAACUUCGUG